UAUCGCUAAGUUUUAUAAUUU
rnacentral:piRNA from 1 species